GGGAGCUUCGAUUUCCUCCAGUCCACUGUCAUUCCUUCCCUUCUUCUGUCGUCCUCCACUGUACUUUAUCUCUCCCCUCUAGUUUCCGGUGAUCGCGCGGUGAAAGUGGAGACUCGGCGUCUCUAUGUGAUGCCCAGGUUGUCCGUCGUGCUUCCCUGUCUCUACGUGUCUUCUUUGUUGCUUCUCUGUUCUCGCUGUUCACGUACACGUAGCUGGGGUCCGAGAAUCAGGUCGCCGGAGCUGCUCGUGAUCUUCUUUUUCCUUCUUCUUCUAUUGUUGCUGUGGUUGAGUGCAUCUGGUCUUUGACUCCCUUUAGCCUGCUUGUGCAUUUCCGAAGAGAGAAAGAGGAGUGGUCUGCCAUUGGUUGAAGCUGGAAACAGGAGAACUCCUCUCCCUGUUCUGUCGGCUUCUUCUCGUUCUCUCCCUCCUCUGUUACUGUUGGUACUUAAGUCUGUUUCAUCCUCCUGGGGUUCAGUAGAACUCGCCUUCGAGUCAAAUUUGGCAUCUUGAUCAAUGUAAGGGGAUAGAUCAACAAUAUUGAAGGUGGUAGAUACACCAUAAGAAUUAGGUAAUUUCACCUUGUAAGCAUUGUCGUUGAUUUUUUGCACUAUCUUGAAUGGAUCAUUAGU